rnacentral:rRNA from 1 species
AGAGUUUGAUCCUGGCUCAGAACGAACGCUGGCGGCAGGCCUAACACAUGCAAGUCGAGCGCUGUAGCAAUACAGAGCGGCAGACGGGUGAGUAACGCGUGGGAACCUUCCCAAUGGUGCGGAAUAGCUCAGGGAAACUUGAGGUAAUACCGCAUAAGCCCGAAAGGGGAAAGAUUUAUCGCCAUUGGAUGGGCCCGCGUUGGAUUAGCUAGUUGGUGGGGUAAUGGCUCACCAAGGCGACGAUCCAUAGCUGGUCUGAGAGGAUGACCAGCCACACUGGGACUGAGACACGGCCCAGACUCCUACGGGAGGCAGCAGUGGGGAAUAUUGGACAAUGGGCGAAAGCCUGAUCCAGCCAUGCCGCGUGAGUGACGAAGGUCUUCGGAUUGUAAAGCUCUUUUGGCGGGGACGAUAAUGACGGUACCCGCAGAAUAAGCCCCGGCUAACUUCGUGCCAGCAGCCGCGGUAAUAC